GAACGAGAGCGACCGGUGCUUGCACUGGUCAAUCUAGUGGCGAACGGGUGAGUAACACGUGGGUAACCUGCCCUUCAGAGGGGGAUAACAUUCGGAAACGGAUGCUAAAACCGCAUAGGUCUUCGAACCGCAUGGUUUGAAGAGGAAAAGAGGCGCAAGCUUCUGCUGAUGGAUGGACCCGCGGUGCAUUAGCUAGUUGGUGAGGUAACGGCUCACCAAGGCCGUGAUGCAUAGCCGACCUGAGAGGGUGAUCGGCCACAUUGGGACUGAGACACGGCCCAAACUCCUACGGGAGGCAGCAGUAGGGAAUCUUCCGCAAUGGACGCAAGUCUGACGGAGCAACGCCGCGUGAGUGAAGAAGGUUUUCGGAUCGUAAAACUCUGUUGUUAGAGAAGAACAAGUGCUAGAGUAACUGUUAGCGCCUUGACGGUAUCUAACCAGAAAGCCACGGCUAACUACGUGCCAGCAGCCGCGGUAAUACGUAGGUGGCAAGCGUUGUCCGGAUUUAUUGGGCGUAAAGCGAGCGCAGGCGGUUCCUUAAGUCUGAUGUGAAAGCCCCCGGCUCAACCGGGGAGGGUCAUUGGAAACUGGGGAACUUGAGUGCAGAAGAGGAGAGUGGAAUUCCAUGUGUAGCGGUGAAGUGCGUAGGUAUAUGGAGGAACA
rnacentral:rRNA from 1 species